GGCGCUAUGGCUCAGUUGGUAGAGCAUCUUGUGAUUGAUUCACAGGAGGUCCUGGGUUCGAUUCCCAGUGGUGCCA
rfam:Fibulorhizoctonia sp. CBS 109695 unplaced genomic scaffold FIBSPscaffold_130, whole genome shotgun sequence.